rnacentral:rRNA from 1 species
CCACCGCGGUUAGACGAGAGGCCCUAGUUGAUAUUAUAACGGCGUAAAGGGUGGUUAGGAACAAAAAAGAAUAAAGCCAAAUGGCCCCUUGGCCGUCAUACGCUUCUAGGCGUCCGAAGCCCCACAUACGAAAGUAGCUUUAAUAAAACCCGCCCGACCCCACGAAAGCUAAGAAACAAACUGGGAUUAGAUACCCCACUAUGCUUAGCCGUAAACUUAGACAUCCAACUACAAUAAGAUGCCCGCCAGGGUACUACGAGCACUAGCUUAAAACCCAAAGGACCUGACGGUGUCUCAGAUCCACCUAGAGGAGCCUGUUCUAGAACCGAUAACCCCCGUUCAACCUCACCACUCCUAGCCAUCCCAGCCUAUAUACCGCCGUCGUCAGCUUACCCUGUGAAGGUAAUAAAAGUAAGCAAAAUGAGUACAACCCAGAACGUCAGGUCGAGGUGUAGCGCAUGAAGUGGAAAGAAAUGGGCUACAUUUUCUACUUACAGAAUAUAACGAAUAUGCACCAUGAAAUAGUGCUUAAAGGAGGAUUUAGCAGUAAAAGGGAAAUAGAGUGUCCCUUUGAAUCCGGCUCUGAGACGCGUACACACCGCCCGUCACUCUCCCCAUCAAAACGCAAUAAAAAUAUUUAAUACCAUAGCACCAACAAGGGGAGGCAAGUCGUAACACG